rnacentral:rRNA from 1 species
CUAGUAUGUAAAAGAUAGAAAUUAGUAAAGAGUGAAAUUUAAUAAUUUUGGCGGUUAGCUUUUAAUUAGAGGAGCUUGUUGGUUAGAAAAGGCUCUUUAAAUCUUAGAAUACAUAGUUUAUUCAUCUCCGUUAUAAGGUUUUAACUGAAAAAAGAUUAAUAACUAUAAUUUCAGGUCAAGAUGUAGCGAGUGUUUCAUGAAAUUAGCUACAUUAUGGGAUUUAUGGAUUUUUUGUGGAAGAACUAUUUGAAAUUGAAUUUAAUUGUAAUAAUUAAUUAGAAUAUUUAUAUGAAUUAUAAAGGUUAAUGUACAUAUUGCCCGUCACUUCUAUAUGAUUGAAUAAGUCGUAACAAAGUAAAUUUAAGG